rnacentral:lncRNA from 1 species
AUAACUCACCCAUGUCUUCAAUUUUUUAAUAUAAAAAAAGAGGUGAGCUUUUUCAAUAGUAUGAUCUCCCAUCAUCACUACAUAUAAGAGACCUCAUGAACAAACUGAUUUGAAAAAAUAAAAAUCUGGAGGCUGAGCUCCAUGAAUGUAGAGGGAGAAAAAUCUGUUUGGCAUGGUGUCUACUUGCUUCAUGGUAUUCACUGGUGCUCUGUUAGCACUGAAGUGGAGUGUUGGAGACGAGGAUCUGAAGUAGUUUACUCUAUAGAUAUAGCUACC